CGCGUAGGCGGUUUGUUAAGUCAGCUGUGAAAGCCCCGGGCUCAACCUGGGAACUGCAGUUGAUACUGGCCGACUAGAGUACGAGAGAGGGAGGUAGAAUUCCAUGUGUAGCGGUGAAAUGCGUAGAUAUAUGGAGGAAUACCAGUGGCGAAGGCGGCCUCCUGGCUCGAUACUGACGCUGAGAUGCGAAAGCGUGGGAUCAAACA
rnacentral:rRNA from 1 species